AUAUAAUUAAGGCUUUUACUCCAAAAAUCAUUAUAAUGAAAACAAGAUAUUAUAAAAUUUCAAAACACAACGAAACAUCAAAAUUUCAAUAUCAAAAAUAAUUUAAUGAUUCAAAAACAUCAAGAUGUAAGUUGAUGAAAAAUAAGUUUUAGAAAUUCAACAAAAUUGACACCAAUUUGUCGCAAUACAUUCAAAAUAGAGAUUUAACUAAUAUGGCAUCGGGGGUGGCUCUUUGAGCAUCUUUCCGACUUACCACUUUAUAACUCCGAAAAUUUUAAUAUUUUUAAACUUUUUCCAACUUUUUCAGCUUUUCAAUUAAUUUUCAUGUGGUAGCUUUGCACACUUGUCAGACGACCGGAGUGGUAGCUCUUUCCUACAUGUGGUGGUAGUUUUCACACACUUUUUAGGAUGUAACUCUUUCCACAUCUUUUAAACAUAGGAGUUUCUUUUUCUCCUUUUUUUUAUUUUUAAACAAUUUUAAACUCCCCCUAAAUUAGACAAUCUCACAGUUGAAAAUAAUUUUGACGAAUUUUAGUCAAUUAGAGAAUAUCCAUUCAUCAUAUCCAACACUCACAACGAAGAUGAAUUAAUCACCAAAAAAUCAAAUUUGAUUUCAAAGUUUUGAUGAAUAUAUGCAUUAAGAAAUCAUAUAUUAAAUUAUCGUCAAAAUAAUAAAAAGUGGAGUAAAACCGAUAAUUAAUAUGAAUUUAACUUAAUUAUCAUUGUGAAGAUAAACACCGUUCAAACACCUUUUUUUUUAAAAAAAAAAACAAUUUCUCUCUCCAAAAUUAUGGAUCUCAAUCAUCUCUUUUCUCGAAAAUUUUGAAUUCCUAAACACCUUUCCUCAAAAU
rnacentral:lncRNA from 1 species